UGUAUAAUGGGUCAGCGACUUAUAUUCUGUAGCAAGGUUAACCGAAUAGGGGAGCCGAAGGGAAACCGAGUCUUAACUGGGCGUUAAGUUGCAGGGUAUAGACCCGAAACCCGGUGAUCUAGCCAUGGGCAGGUUGAAGGUUGGGUAACACUAACUGGAGGACCGAACCGACUAAUGUUGAAAAAUUAGCGGAUGACUUGUGGCUGGGGGUGAAAGGCCAAUCAAACCGGGAGAUAGCUGGUUCUCCCCGAAAGCUAUUUAGGUAGCGCCUCGUGAAUUCAUCUCCGGGGGUAGAGCACUGUUUCGGCAAGGGGGUCAUCCCGACUUACCAACCCGAUGCAAACUGCGAAUACCGGAGAAUGUUAUCACGGGAGACACACGGCGGGUGCUAACGUCCGUCGUGAAGAGGGAAACAACCCAGACCGCCAGCUAAGGUCCCAAAGUCAUGGUUAAGUGGGAAACGAUGUGGGAAGGCCCAGACAGCCAGGAUGUUGGCUUAGAAGCAGCCAUCAUUUAAAGAAAGCGUAAUAGCUCACUGGUCGAGUCGGCCUGCGCGGAAGAUGUAACGGGGCUAAACCAUGCACCGAAGCUGCGGCAGCGACGCUGAUGCGUUGUUGGGUAGGGGAGCGUUCUGUAAGCCUGCGAAGGUGUGCUGUGAGGCAUGCUGGAGGUAUCAGAAGUGCGAAUGCUGACAUAAGUAACGAUAAAGCGGGUGAAAAGCCCGCUCGCCGGAAGACCAAGGGUUCCUGUCCAACGUUAAUCGGGGCAGGGUGAGUCGACCCCUAAGGCGAGGCCGAAAGGCGUAGUCGAUGGGAAACAGGUUAAUAUUCCUGUACUUGGUGUUACUGCGAAGGGGGGACGGAGAAGGCUAUGUUGGCCGGGCGACGGUUGUCCCGGUUUAAGCGUGUAGGCUGGUUUUCCAGGCAAAUCCGGAAAAUCAAGGCUGAGGCGUGAUGACGAGGCACUACGGUGCUGAAGCAACAAAUGCCCUGCUUCCAGGAAAAGCCUCUAAGCAUCAGGUAACAUCAAAUCGUACCCCAAACCGACACAGGUGGUCAGGUAGAGAAUACCAAGGCGCUUGAGAGAACUCGGGUGAAGGAACUAGGCAAAAUGGUGCCGUAACUUCGGGAGAA
rnacentral:rRNA from 2 species